rnacentral:tRNA from 1 species
GGGGGUUUAGCUCAGCUGGAAGAGCACCUGCUUUGCAAGCAGGGGGUCGAGAGUUCGAAUCUCUUAAUCUCCACCA